rnacentral:lncRNA from 1 species
GAACGGGCGGCCAAGGGAGCGGCGUCGGCGUCCUCCAGCGGCAGGCAGCGGGAGAACGUGACGGGUGGAAAGGAGUCGCCGCCGGAGGUCGGAGCCGAGGGGAGGUGGGCGGACAACAACGAGCGACGCCUCGAGGAUCCUGUCUGGAAAGGAGGGCGGCGACGAGCAGCUGUAGCCCCUCACCCAGUUGUCGGCUCGUCACAGCCCCACACGGUGGCCGGGGAGAAAGAGGAUUGUGGAGGCUGA